AAUCGAUUAUCGAAUAGAUUGCGUGACAGUGUUUUUGGAAAACACGAACAGUUAACUAUGCUUGAAUAAUUAAAGAUUAUCCUUCAAUUAAUAUUUCCACAUUUUAGAUCUUUGAUUGUGCUAAGAUUUCUCAUAAACAACUAUGUUUCUGUAAUUAAUGUAUAAUUGAUGAUAACAUGAAUAAUAACAUAUUAUUUUUAGGUGACUCGUUAACCGUGGCGCAAAGGAUGUGAAAUUAAAUACAUUCGUCUCGAUAAAGGUAUUACAUUACACAUGGAUGGUGAACAUGAAACGUUUAUAAGAAAUUAUAUGCGAAUUAUUAAAAUGUGAAGGAUAGAAAAAACAAUGAUUCGGAUGAUCCGUGACUACUUUAUUAGAAAAUGUAAAACAGAAUAAUUCAGGUACAAAGAGAGGAAACAAUAAGAAAUGGAUGAUUCGACAUUCCGAAAAUUAUCGAAAUAUUGAUGUCGAAUUGUUUUUAAGCAUCAUGGUAUCUGCAGUAGGCGGUAUCUUCUAUCAACUCCUGAGGAAUCAAUUCCUCUGCUGGAGAUUGAUGCGACAUGGUUACAGCGUGAUUCUCCACUUCCUUCAAUACUCUCAAUAAAUUUCCACCCACCAAUUUCUUAAUGUCCAAAGCCGACCACCUUCGAUCUCUCGUCAGUUCGGCCAAUAACAAAGGAUAACCAGAAACGUCUGGAAGUUCAACUGGCGGACUGAAAACAUGCCGCAUUCAUUUUAUUUUUACUUGAAAAUAACAUAAUUCACGAAGGAUUGUAACAUAAAAAAGAAAAACAUUUUUUUUUACUCUAUUAAAAAUAUUCUUAUGUUCCAAAAAAAAA